rnacentral:rRNA from 1 species
ACUCGAGUGGCGAACGGGUGAGUAACACGUGGGUGAUCUGCCCUGCACUUCGGGAUAAGCCUGGGAAACUGGGUCUAAUACCGGAUAGGAGCCAUUUUUAGUGUGAUGGUUGGAAAGUUUUUCGGUGUAGGAUGAGCUCGCGGCCUAUCAGCUUGUUGGUGGGGUAAUGGCCUACCAAGGCGGCGACGGGUAGCCGGCCUGAGAGGGUGGACGGCCACAUCGGGACUGAGAUACGGCCCAG